GGAGGCAGCAGUGAGGAAUAUUGGUCAAUGGGCGAGAGCCUGAACCAGCCAAGUCGCGUGAAGGAUGACUGUCUUAUGGAUUGUAAACUUCUUUUAUACGGGAAUAACAAGAGUCACGUGUGGCUCCCUGCAUGUACCGUAUGAAUAAGCAUCGGCUAACUCCGUGCCAGCAGCCGCGGUAAUACGGAGGAUGCGAGCGUUAUCCGGAUUUAUUGGGUUUAAAGGGUGCGUAGGCGGCCUGUUAAGUCAGCGGUGAAAUCUAGGAGCUUAACUCCUAAAUUGCCAUUGAUACUGGCGGGCUUGAGUGUAGAUGAGGUAGGCGGAAUGCGUGGUGUAGCGGUGGAAUGCAUAGAUAUCACGCAGAACUCCGAUUGCGAAGGCAGCUUACUAAGGUACAACUGACGCUGAAGCACGAAAGCGUGGGUAUCAAACAGGAUUAGAUACCCUGGUAGUCCACGCUGUAAACGAUGAUAACUGGGCGUAUGCGAUAUACAGUAUGCUCCUAAGCGAAAGCGUUAAGUUAUCCACCUGGGGAGUACGCCGGCAACGGUGAAACUCAAAGGAAUUGACGGGGGCCCGCACAAGCGGAGGAACAUGUGGUUUAAUUCGAUGAUACGCGAGGAACCUUACCCGGGCUUGAAUUGCAGAGGAAGGAUUUAGAGAUAAUGACGCCCUUCGGGGUCUCUGUGAAGGUGCUGCAUGGUUGUCGUCAGCUCGUGCCGUGAGGUGUCGGCUUAAGUGCCAUAACGAGCGCAACCCCUGUCUACGGUUGCCAUCAGGUAAUGCUGGGAACUCCGUAGAGACUGCCGUCGUAAGGCGUGAGGAAGGUGGGGAUGACGUCAAAUCAGCACGGCCCUUACAUCCGGGGCGACACACGUGUUACAAUGGUAAGGACAAAGGGCAGCUACCUGGCGACAGGAUGCGAAUCUCUAAACCUUAUCACAGUUCGGAUCGGAGUCUGCAACUCGACUCCGUGAAGCUGGAUUCGCUAGUAAUCGCGCAUCAGCCAUGGCGCGGUGAAUACGUUCCCGGGCCUUGUACACACCGCCCGUCAAGCCAUGGGAGUCUGGAGUACCUAAAGUCCGUAACCGCAAGGGUCGGCCUAGGGUAAUACAGGUGACUGGGGCUAAGUCGUAACAAGGUAGCCGUACCGGAAGGUGCGGCUG
rnacentral:rRNA from 1 species